rnacentral:rRNA from 1 species
CAUGCAAGUCGUACGAGAGUUUCUAACUCAAGUGGCGGACGGGUGAGUAACACGUGAGAAUUUGCCUUUAGGAGGGGGAUAACAGUUGGAAACGAUUGCUAAUACCCCAUAUGCUUCCGAGUGAAAUGGAUUUAUCUGCCUAAAGAAAAGCUCGCGGCUGAUUAGCUUGUUGGUAAGGUAAUGGCUUACCAAGGCGACGAUCAGUAUCUGGUUUGAGAGGACGAUCAGACACACUGGAACUGAGACACGGUCCAGACUCCUACGGGAGGCAGCAGUGGGGAAUUUUCCGCAAUGGGCGAAAGCCUGACGGAGCAAUACCGCGUGAGGGAAGACGGCCUAUGGGUUGUAAACCUCUUUUUUCAGGGAGGAAAAAAUGACGUGUACCUGAAGAAUAAGCAUCGGCUAACUCCGUGCCAGCAGCCGCGGUAAGACGGAGGAUGCAAGUGUUAUCCGGAAUCACUGGGCGUAAAGCGUCUGUAGGUGGUCUAAUAAGUCAACUGUUAAAUCUUGAGGCUUAACUUCAAAACUGCAGUCGAAACUAUUAGACUAGAGUAUAGUAGGGGUAAAGGGAAUUUCCAGUGGAGCGGUGAAAUGCGUAGA